rnacentral:lncRNA from 13 species
GGCCCCCGUGUGAGUGGGCAUAUUCCCUUUCAGCAUGGAGUGCUAAGCUAUUGAAGCAGACCCUAAGUAAGGCACUGGAGCACUGUGAAGAUGGGAAAAAUCCCCACUGAUCGCCGUGAAACAGUCAGGAUGGAGAAAAUCAAAGCAAAGCAAAAGAAAAUUAGUGCUCUGCAGAGAGCCUGCAGGAGUUCUGACAAUUUGGCCGUUAGCUCGAACUGCCUGCCCAGAGAGGAAGCUGCGAGAAGGGCCUUCAUAAAAGGUGAGAUGCUGUUACCAUGGGAUCAUGGAGGUGACCUGCUCCCAGGGGUCUUGAAACAGGGACACUAAACUAAUCCCUCUG